AGAAACACAUCCUAAAAUCUCAUCAUUUAAGUAAAUUUACAAUUUUGUGUUAUGUUGUAUUUAUAGCUUUUCUUGCUUCAUGAAGUCUUCUUAAGCCUACAAGCCACAGUUUGACUAUACCUGAAUAGUUUAAACCUAGUGUUGCCUUGAUGGCUUUCUAUCCUGAUAACCUGUGCACUCUAAAGUAGUGUAUAAAGAUCUAAGGCUUUACUGAACCUUAGAUAUCUCACUUCUCAUCGUUUAAUAAUUGCUUUCUACAUUUACACACACCAAUAUUGGGUGGAUAUAUUUAUAAUUGUUAUAAGGUAACUUCUGUAAUCCAUUUUAAACUUCCACUAUUGUCUCCUUGCCUCCCCUUUGAAUUUACAGUUCACAUUUUAAAGAAUUUCAAAACACCCCUUAUUUUUCAUUGUAUUUAUUAGGAUAGCUUUGGCCAGGUCAGGGACAUACAUCUUUAUUUAUAGCACUUGGGAUUUAAAAGAAGAAGUUCAGAUAAACCAUGAAUACAUAAUGAAACCAUGUCACAAAAAAAGGAAAACAUUUUCCUUGAUGAUAUUCACACUAAAGAUUGUCACUAAGCCUCUUACUUUAUUAUUUAAAUUUGGGGGUGUUGAGAAUGAAAUACAAAGCCUUACAUAUUCUACACAAGCAGCCUACCUCUGAACUUUGCAUUUGGUUCUGUUUCCACUGUAAUUAACAAUUUUUUGUAGGACUGGAGAGCAAACCUAGGAUUUAAUGCAUCCAAGGUAAGCACUCUACUGCUGUGCCAAAGACCCUACCAAUUUAACAUUUUACAUAAGGCAGGCCACUUUUAUCACAUUAACUUUUAGGGGAAGAGGGAGUGGUCUGUUAAGUCUCAUGUUUCUGAAGGAUAGCUCUGUUAAGCAUAGUAAUUCUUGGUUGGCAGCACUACAACCAUGUAAUAACAUAAAUAUUAAUUCAUUUAUGGAUGACUGGGACAUAGAAGCUCUGACAUAUUAGUCAAUUAAGCCUAAUUGUUGGAUUAAUCUGAAGGCAUUAUUGAAAAAUGGUAGACAGAACAAUAGGUCACCAGGUUGUUGUCUGUAGCCAUGUCUUAGACUUUUCAUGUCUCUUCCUGGUUCUUGACCACUAUGAGGUGAACAGUCUUGCUUCAUUUAUCAUAUCUUCUGCCAUGAUGUCCUGCACUUGUAAUCAACAAAAGCAAUGGAAGCAGUAGAUCAUGGACUAAAACCACCAAUACCAUGAGUCAUAACAACUGUUUCCUCUUUUUAAAUUGUUCAAGUAUUCAUCAAAGUAGACAGCAGAUGCAAUUUUUUUCUUUCAUUUCUAAAGUUUUCUUUUUUUUUAUUAGAUAUUUUACAUUUCAAAUGCUAUCCCGAAAGUUCCCUAUACCCUCCUCCCAACCUGCUCCCCGAUCCACCCACUCCCACUUCUUGGCCCUGGCAUUCCCCUGUACUGGGGCAUAUAAAGUUUGCAAUACCAAGGGGCCUCUCUUCCCAGUGAUGGUCAACUAGGCCAUCUUCUGAUACAUAUGCAGCUAGAGACACGAGCUCUGGUUAGUUCAUAUUGUUGUUCCACCUAUAGGGUUGCAGAGCCCUUCAGCUCCUUGGGUGCUGUCUCUAAAAAUUCAGGUGACAACAGAUGCUGGUGAAGAUGUGGAGAAAGAAGAACACUCCUCCAUUACUGGGGGGAUUGCAAGCUUGUACAACCACUCUGGAAAAACUUCCCUGGAUAUAAAACCUCAGUGUUAGUGUUCUCAUCCUAUACCUCCACCCUUCACUCUUUCUGCUUCUGUACCCUCCUUUCAGUUCCUCCUCUUAACUUUGGACAUCGAAAAAACAAGCUAUCCAAUCAUUUAAUUGGAGACACAUGGAUAUUAGUUGCUUCUUUUUGUUGCUUUCAAGAUUCUGUCUCUGGAUUUUGUUAACAAGCAACGUUGGGAGAACUGUUCUCAGGAUGUCUUCCAAGAUGUUAUCUACCAGCUGCAUGGUAAUUUCACUGAAACCACACAACCAGAGAUAAGGUAGGAGUGGGUAUAAUCCAAGUCAAGGGAAUGGCAGUGCCAAACUAAAAUUCAGAGUCAUUUGACUGAAGGCUACAACCCCAACCAGUGUGUACUAUAUUCCAGAUACAUUCCUUAUCAUUUUCUAUGUGUUUCUGGGUAAUGAAAAAUCAUAAUAAUGAUCCAAGGUUCCAUGCAUGUCAGCAUAAUAAUCUUAAUUUGUUGUUUAAUUUAGUCAUGUUUGUUUUUGCAAAAAGGAAGAUGACAAAUUUUAGGUGGUCAUGUGGACGCAACCUUACCAUUUGUCAUCCCUUUUCCUGCCUGUAUGACUUUUAGUAAGGUGUAUAACCUCUCAAGUUACAGAUAUUUAUUGGCUUUGUGAAAAUGAAGGACCAUGUGCACAGAUCUUUAGCAGUCAUUGAAAAUUCUUGUCAGAAUUUACAGGAAUUUGAGCAGCAAAGUAUAAGAAAAUGUUAAAUAUGACUCACAUAUAUUUACAGAGAACAGCAUCUGGAGGAUUCCUCUAUGAAAAUUUGAGAGACUAGUCAGUAAUAACAGAACGAAUUAAGGUAUCAGUUGCCAUGACUGCUGGAAGAGUAUGAGUGGCAUAAAGACGGUGGUCAAGAGUACACCAGAAGACAGGAUGUAGAGUUACAAAACUGUCUUGCUUUCAACCAUCUAGUCUUUUCCAACUUACUGUCUUUUUUACCCUGGGGCAGAUAUAAUACAGUGAUUCCAGAAACUCUAUUCAAUAAAUGUAUGUGUAUAUUUCUUGAUUAAUGCUUAUCUGCCUACUGCCUAAGAGACAGAAAGAUCAGUACAAGGUAGUUUCCACUGUGAAUUUACUCAGAUUCCAUACAAAAGAGAAGAUGCUUUAAAAAAAAUAAUAAUAAUAGUGGGACAAUAUCAAAGCUAAAACACAGGAAAGAAGGAAGGGAACGCACUUCUGAAGGCCUCCUCAACUGUUCAAAUAAAUAUGAUCCACCAGGCUGUGACCAGGGAUAUGUAGGCUGCUAUUACACUAUGAAGGCACACUGUAACUAAUAGAAGUCUUUAUGAGUAUGAUACUUUCAAAAUUCCAACUGAAAGAAUAUGUGAGUUGUAUAAAGUUAAUCUAAAAAGGAAUUUUGAGUAGUGAUGAAAGGGAUGCUGAACAGGAUGCACUAGUAAAUUAUGCAGAAAUCCACCUGUACAAACUAUUCAAAGGGGAAGUACUCAUACAAAUCAGAAAAAAAAAUGCUUUUUGAGAAUGAAAAGAAUUAGAAGUAGUUCAGAGUCAGGAAGAUAACCUGAGUAAAUCAAAGGAUUGGGGCCUGAAAUAAAGUACAAUUAAAUAGGUCUGAGAGACAAUAACUGACAACAUGCAUAUAUAUGCACAUAAACUGUGAGAGGGUAGGAAACAGCAAAAGCUAUGGUAAACAUGGAAAGGCCAGGAAACAACUUUGUGGAGUUGCUCUUUCCUUCCAUGUUUAUGUGGAGUCUAGGCAGAGUCUUCAGGUCAAGUUUUAUAUAGUGAGCACCUUUACCCACUAAGCCAUCUCCCCAGGCCAAAAAAUUGACAGUUCUAAAGGAAGUAACAAGAAAUAACUAGGAGAUACAAGAGUAAGAAUUUUGUUUUUAUCGGUACUGUUUUGUACUAUAUAAUGACUUAGAGGUACCAGGAUGAUGUCCUGGAAACACGGGUCUGAUAUGAUAUGAGAUAUGAGACCCACAAAAUAUGAGGC
rnacentral:lncRNA from 1 species